rnacentral:rRNA from 1 species
UACAGAGGUCUCAAGCGUUGUUCGGAUUCAUUGGGCGUAAAGGGUGCGUAGGUGGCGCUGUAAGUCGGGUGUGAAAUUCGAUGCUUAACUCCGAAACUGCAUUCGAUACUGCCGGUGCUUGAGGACUGGGAGAGGAGACUGGAAUUUAUGGUGUAGCAGUGAAAUGCGUAGAGAUCAUGAGGAAGACCAGUAGCGAAGGCGGGUCUCUGGACAGUUCCUGACGCUGAGGCACGAAGGCCAGGGGAGCAAACGGG